AGAGUUUGAUCAUGGCUCAGAACGAACGCUGGCGGCGUGCCUAACACAUGCAAGUCGAACGAGAAAGGGGCUUCGGCCCUGAGUAAAGUGGCGCACGGGUGAGUAAUGCAUCGGAACGUGUCCUCUUGUGGGGGAUAACCAGUCGAAAGACUGGCUAAUACCGCAUGAGAUCGAGAGAUGAAAGCAGGGGACCGCAAGGCCUUGCGCGAGAGGAGCGGCCGAUGCCGGAUUAGCUAGUUGGUGGGGUAACGGCCUACCAAGGCGACGAUCCGUAGCUGGUCUGAGAGGACGACCAGCCACACUGGGACUGAGACACGGCCCAGACUCCUACGGGAGGCAGCAGUGGGGAAUUUUGGACAAUGGGGGCAACCCUGAUCCAGCCAUGCCGCGUGUGUGAAGAAGGCCUUCGGGUUGUAAAGCACUUUCGGACGGAACGAAAUCGCGCGGGUGAACAUCCCGCGUGGAUGACGGUACCGUAAGAAGAAGCACCGGCUAACUACGUGCCAGCCGCCGCGGUAAUAC
rnacentral:rRNA from 1 species